GACGAACGCUGGCGGCGUGCUUAACACAUGCAAGUCGAACGGAAAGGCCCUGCUUUUGUGGGGUGCUCGAGUGGCGAACGGGUGAGUAACACGUGAGUAACCUGCCCUUGACUUUGGGAUAACUUCAGGAAACUGGGGCUAAUACCGGAUAGGAGCUCCUGCUGCAUGGUGGGGGUUGGAAAGUUUCGGCGGUUGGGGAUGGACUCGCGGCUUUUGGCUUGUUGGUGGGGUAGUGGCUUACCAAGGCUUUGACGGGUAGCCGGCCUGAGAGGGUGACCGGCCACAUUGGGACUGAGAUACGGCCCAGACUCCUACGGGAGGCAGCAGUGGGGAAUAUUGCACAAUGGGCGGAAGCCUGAUGCAGCAACGCCGCGUGCGGGAUGACGGCCUUCGGGUUGUAAACCGCUUUCGCCUGUGACGAAGCGUGAGUGACGGUAAUGGGUAAAGAAGCACCGGCUAACUACGUG
rnacentral:rRNA from 1 species